CCUAGGCUGUCAGUCUAGGAGACAGAGGAGUCUAGGACCACGUGCGUAACGCGAGCGUGGGAGUGUGCGGUGCUCGUGUUGGAGAAGGGAGGAAUGGAAAUAACCCCGACAGCGCCAGGCUUGGCGGUGGUCAGGGACAGAUGACUGCAGCCCUGCGCUGCUCGCCGGCUCUUCUGCCGUUUAGCGCAAUAGAGCCCUUGCUGCGGUCUCCCUACCUACCCUAAAGGAUCCUGGAAGAGGGAGUGGUUCGUCCGAGCUGUAGAGAGGGAGCUACUUUUAUUUUUAAGAAUUACGUUUGUAUAAGUACGAUCGGGCAGUUCAAGGGAGGGCGAACGACUUGCAGGAAAAAAAAAAUGUGAAUGCAUUUGGUAUGAGCUAAAAGCUGGAAAAGCCCCAAAUAGAGGCAGUAUGGAUAGAAAGCAAGUUUGUUGAAGAGUCACCUGCUAAACUUCACUAGCGUCGUCUCUACAAGUGAUCUGUGCUGUCUGGGCCUGCCUUGCAGUUGAACCUGGAUUUGAAACUGACAACUAUGAACGAAUAGGAAAAUGUUGCAGCAGGAGCUGCCACGUCUGAAGAAAAUUCAAAGAAAGGUCUAUUCGGGCAGUGGUGGCUUUUCAUGGAUUUACUGAACCAACGAAGGACCCACUUCCAAGAGGGCUGUUAUGCUUUCCAUGGAUUUAUAAGGCAGAUACAACCUGUGACGGGAUGUCAGCUAGCAGAAUAAGUGAAUU